AUUGAACGCUGGCGGCAUGCUUUACACAUGCAAGUCGAACGGAAACAUGAAAGAGCUUGCUCUUUUGAUGUCGAGUGGCGAACGGGUGAGUAAUACAUCGGAACAUGUCCUUUUGUGGGGGAUAACUACUCGAAAGAGUAGCUAAUACCGCAUAAGACCUGAGGGUGAAAGCGGGGGCUCGCAAGACCUCGCGCAGAUGGAGUGGCCGAUGACUGAUUAGCUAGUUGGUGGGGUAAAGGCCUACCAAGGCGACGAUCAGUAGCUGGUCUGAGAGGACGACCAGCCACAUUGGGACUGAGAUACGGCCCAGACUCCUACGGGAGGCAGCAGUGGGGAAUAUUGGGCAAUGGGGGAAACCCUGACCCAGCAACGCCGCGUGAAGGAAGAAGGCUUCGGGUGUAAACUCUUUACCAGGGACGAAGAACGUGACGGUACCUGGAGAAAAAGACAACGGCUAACUACGUG
rnacentral:rRNA from 1 species